UGGGGUGCAACACCUAAGGGCCUGGAAAUAGAGUCAAGUGGCAACUGCAACCCUUCUCCUGCAGAGCCUCUCCUGGCAAUUUACCCAGAGUGCUCUGGGUUUGAAGCUCAUCAGAAACAAAGAGUACUUUUAAAUUGCCCAUGUGUACUUGGCACUGUCAAGUAAAGUCGUGUUUAUGAUGCAACUCCUGCCCCACAUGGGACACAGCAUCAUGGAAUCCCAGGCCUGGAAGGAACCAACAGAGAGUUGAAACCAGGGACAAAGCGUUCCUCCUCCCACCACCUCAAGGCUGACCUUCCGCCCUCAAGCCCACCACUGCCCCUUCUCGGACCACGUGACCCUGCUCAGACCCAGUGACUCGCUGCCGCCGACCCCUCCCCUUGGGCCCGCUUUACUCCGCCCCUAAA